GACAGAGGGGGCAAGCGUUGCUCGGAAUUACUGGGCGUAAAGGGCGCGUAGGCGGGAUGGCAAGUCGGUCGUGAAAUCCCUCGGCUCAACUGAGGAUCGUCGAUCGAUACUGCCGUUCUUGAGGAUUGCAGAGGAGACUGGAAUUCCCGGUGUAGCGGUGAAAUGUGUAGAGAUUUGGAGGAACACCGGUGGCGAAGGCGACUUUCUGGUCUGUAACUGACACUGAGGCGCGAAAGCGUGGGGAGCAAACAGG
rnacentral:rRNA from 1 species